rnacentral:rRNA from 1 species
CGUGGGUAACCUGCCCAAGAGAUCGGGAUAACACCUGGAAACAGGUGCUAAUACCGGAUAACAAUAGAUGAUGCCUAUCAACUGUUUAAAAGAUGGUUCUGCUAUCACUCUUGGAUGGACCUGCGGUGCAUUAGCUAGUUGGUAGGGUAACGGCCUACCAAGGCGAUGAUGCAUAGCCGAGUUGAGAGGCUGAUCGGCCACAUUGGGACUGAGACACGGCCCAAACUCCUACGGGAGGCAGCAGGU